GCCUCUGUGGAUUAGUGGUAGAUCGCCUCAGAUUUAUAGGUACGUUGCCAAACAGUUAUGGGGAGCUGUGGGUUCGAAUCCCACCAGAGGUA